CCAAGCCCAGGUCAUGCCCCACCCAGCCCCAUUGGCGCUACGCCACAGUUUGAAUCCCCCCACCAUGGGGACCUGUUACUAAAAUUUUUGGAUCCCACCACUGCAUGGAUCUCUUCAGGAUGUGGCAGAGGUGGCAACUGCAGAAGUAUUCAUAAUUUCAUAUGCAAAAGAAAAAGUCAGUUUCAGCCACCCAUUUUAUGGAAACUCCAUAAGGGAUUAAAGUAACUUAACUUAUGUGCAUGUACCAACACCACCUUUGGCUGUCUAAUUGGAUAAGUACUCACCAUACACAUCAGCACAUCUGUUUGAAAAGCAUAUUGUUUUUGUGGACACAGUACCCAUUUCACAGCAAGGGGUCUGAAGUAUUCUCAGUUUUAACUAUAACAUUAGUCUGCAUUUCUUUCAUAGUUGUUUUCUUUCAGCAGUAUGUUUCAGCAAACACGAUGUAUUUCUUAAAUCCUCCAACAGAACCUGCGAACACAGUGGUUCCUACAGACAGUAUAAGCAGUAAAACUUCAGCUGCUGCCACUGGAUGUCGGGUUCUUCUGACCAUGAAUGCAAUACCAUUUUACUCUGCUGCUCACUUAUCCCCAAAGAGAUUACACACACAGAGAGAAAGAAGCCUUAAUGGACCGGAGCAUCCCUGCUCAGUCACAAAGCUUAUUGAAUUACCUUGGUCCAACCGUAAUCACACUAACCUAUAUCAUGGGGUUGUUGGAAAGAGCAAAGAAUACCGUCUUCGCCAGAUUAAGUUUUUGGAGGAUAAAAUGUAACAGAAUGUAUCAUCAUUUUUGCAAACCAAAAGAGGAUUUAUGUUUGAUUUCUAUUGUUGUUACAAUAUACAGGAAUGAUGAAUGAGGUAGAGAGAGAAAGAGAAUUGCUUGACCUAGAUUCUACCGUGGGAGAAUCCAUGGUAAAAAAAAUACUGUGCCAGGCCUUGUGCAAUAUUGUUCAUGUGCAAAUAUUCCAUAUACACUGGUUACCCCACUGGCUCUCAAAUGGCAUAACUGUUAUGACUGUUGUAACAUUCAUCCCUUUGGUAACUAUUAAACGCUGCUCUUGGCAGCUUGCUUGCA